CCCUCUCUGGCCGGCCGGCGGGCCCGGAUUGAUUUCUGGCAUCCCGGCCACCGCGGGAACUUGAACCCCAGAGAGCUAAAGCGCCAUGACCUUUGGGGGGUGGUGCGCAAGGUCAGGCCAGGCCUCCUGGGCUUUCCUGCCUCCUGAAUUCAAGCAUUUGCACCUUUGUCACUGCGCAGAGGCCAGAAGGUGGAGGUUGUUGUGCAUGCCACCCCCAAACGCAGGUACCGGUACCCCUGUACCCCACCCCACCAAGCCCUAGUCCUCAGCCUGUUCCAGAUGAGAGAGGCCCAAAGUGUCCCAGCCAGGGAGGGACAGCCCAGGCUCCAGAGCCCAGCCUUGCCUCCAGAGGCCUGAUCUGGAAGGAGUUGACCCCAGAGAGCUAUGUGUUCUCAGCUAGAUGGAAACAGCCCUCGGUCUCACUUUGGAAGGCAAGGUGGAGAGACUCUAGUGGCAACAGUCUGGCAGCCGGUCCUGCAUCAGGGAGGCAGGCACCUCUUUCUGUCUCCUAUACAGAAAAGGGGGGAUUUAACCGGGGGGGGGGGGGGGGGUAUGCCUCUUAUUUUUAAAAAAAAACCUUUUUGGGGGGGUCCCGGGGGAAGUGAGUUUUACAGGAUGACCAUUACACAAAAGUGGACAUAGCCCAAGCUGCACAUGUGGCCAAUUCCCAGGCGGAGAAACAGCACCAGGCAGUCCUCGCCUCGCUUGUGAAGCCCUGGGUUCCGGAACCGUCUGGGCGCUACUGAUAGGGCUUGCCUGUAAUCCUAGCGCUCAGGAAGCAGAGGCAGGAGGAUCAGAGUUCAAGGUCAUUCACGCCUACAUAGCAAAUCUGAGGCUACCUGGACUACAUGAAUCCCUGCUUCAAAAAAAAAAAAAAACUAAAACAAAAAACCCUCCAAUCAGCUCCCACCAACACCAGAAGACCCUCCCACUGACACCCGCAAGGGCACGCCCCCUCGCAGCCAGCCCUCUAGCCCUAUCGGCUGCUACGGUUUAGGACCAGCCCACUUGUGACCUGGAGGUACUUUUGCGCAGAGUCCUGUCUGUGAGGUCUAGCCAUGCCGUCUUCGGCAGUCCCGGGCCACUCGUGUAGGCCACUUGUCUUCCUGGGAACUUGUCCCUGUGUGACUCUCAUAAUUUAGCCACCCAUUUUACUGUUGACGGACGUUGGGGUGGGUUCCAGUGCCUGGCAACAGUGCAGGGCAUCACUGGGCCUACUCCAGCCUCUGCCCGAGAACCCACAGAAGAGAUAGGUCUCUCCAGCUCAGGGAGCCGACUUCUCACCAACAUGGUGACAGAACGGCCCAAUGUUGGUUUUCGUCUUUCAUUCUAAAAAGAGAGUUUACCUCCUUUUUUUAAUGGAAAAUACAGAAAUGUAAAAGGGAAAGGAAAGUCACUAUUACUACUAUUUAAAAGGCAUUCAUUCGGCCAGCCAGUCAGUGGCUGUUUUCCUGAAUCUCUUGUAGGUCAGACUCUGGACAGAGAAAGCUUGUUUCUCCCUCAGGUGGCCUGGAGGCUGGGCCUGAGUCUAGCCAGCAGUGGCAUCUUCCAGGCACCCUCAGCAUGCUCCAGAACCUCCAUCACGGCCCCUUCUCCCCACACCCCACACCCCACAGCCUCCAUCUUGCAUCCAGGCCAAGACGACAGGGCUCACAGUGCACCUACAACUCAAGGCAGGGCCCCAGGCCUUGGGCCAGCCAGCACCCUAGGAUCCAACACUGGUUAUCCCAAUGGCCUGACAGUUUAUCACAACUGGGAGAGGGGUGAGAGAGGCAGUAGGCAGGAGUCAAGGGUUGCUGCAGGAUGUGGGGAUGAGAGUCAGUCCUCUGGUGGGGAAAGCCUAGGUGGGAAGCCUCAGAGGCCCGGCCUUUGCUCUCCAUCCCAAGAGUUAAAGAGAAUGGGGCUUCUAUUUGCUUAUUGCAGUGCGAGACAUUGAACCUGGGGCCUCACACAGAUAAGGCAGUCACUCUGCGUGGGAGCUCUCUGGAUACUUUUAGAAACAGGAGACAAGAAGAACAAAGGCCCACAGUGGAACCGGUGGUGGAGAUUUCUGCCUUACAGAGGGUGCCCAGGGGCCAGAGGAAUUGGAUCUGCUGGGAGUUGGAGUUACAGAUGGUUGUGGGCCAGCUGAUGUGGUUGUUGAGAAUUGAACUCAAGUCUGAAAGAAAACAGUGCGUGCUCUUGACUGCCCGGCCAUCCCUCCAGCACCCCUGGAGCCUCUCCUCCCAUCUGAGCCCAGCCAGCAUGGGAACUCACUGGAUGCUCGCAAUAGCAUCUCCUUCCAUCUUUUCCUUCCAUUCCUAGCAUGGCCAGAGCAGUUUUAUCAAGAUGUGAGUCAGCUCAUGCCUGGUUCCCCUGUCCUGAGGAAAAGCUGAAGUUUUGGUGAUGGCGUUUUACCGUAUCUACCUGCCCCACCUCAUCUCCUACACUGAUCAUUUGGUUCAGCUACUGGCUUUGUUCUCUGAUUACACAACCCAUGCCUCAGGACCUUUGCACUGGCUGUUUCCACUUCUUGGAGCCUCCUUCCCCCAAGUAUCUCCAUGCUUUGCUCCUCCCCUUCCUCACGUCUUCAUCCGGGUUCUGCCUUAUCCAGGAGCCUUCCCCAUGACCUCCGUGUUGAAAACUGAAGAUCACGCCCUGUGCCCAGAUCUUGCUUUCUAAUACCGUCCUGUAAUGAAGGGACCCACGGAUUCUUGGAGAAAUAGCUGCUUCUCGGAUAGGGUGGGAAAUACGCAGGAUGAGGCUGGACUCUCUCAAAGCAUCCCAAAGGAAAGACUGGAGGACAAGAGCCACCCAAAUGUGGGUGUGGCCGACAGCGCUGGAGCAGCUGCGCGCACGGCACAGCAAACAGGGCUGGAUGAUAGCCCAGUGGCAAAACACAUUCAAGUUUAUUUUAUUUUGUUUUACUUUAUUUAUUUUUGUAUUUUGAGACAGGAUUUUAUGUAGUCCUGGCUGGCUUUGAACUCACUGCAUAUAACUGAGGAUGACGUUAAACUCCUGAUUUUCCCGCCUUCACCUCUGAAAUGUUGGGGUUAUAGAGGUGUUCCUACCAUACCCAGCUCUCAGCAGGCAAAUUCUGAUUUAAGGACAUCUACAAAAUACCUGACCGGGAUCCCUUCAAACCACUAGAGUCAACAAAAAACACGGGAUGUGUGAGGGGUGCUGUGGCCAAGAGAAGCUUCUAGAGGGAAGACAAUGAGCUGGAAUGUGGUAUGUGAAGGGCUCCUGGGACAGAAAGGGCUUAGAGGAACAAAGGAAGUCUGGUAAAACAACUGCCGAAAUUUCUACGGAUAAUAAUUACCAUGGGGUGUGGUGAUACUGCAACCCUAACACUCGGGAGGCUGAGGCUGAAGGAUGGUGAGUUUGAGAUCAGCUUGGGUUCCAUAGAUUCUGGCUCAAAAGGAAAAAAAAAUCAUUCAUGCAGUAAAUGCAAGAUGUCACCGACAGAGAAAGUGAUGGGGAAGGGACAUCAAACUGAGCAGAGUGGAGCACACAAGUAAUCCAGCGCUCAAGAGGCAUAAGCCAGGAGAUCAUGAGUUUGAGGCCAGCCUGGGCUAUGUAGUGAGAGCCCUUCUCAACAUAAAUAAAUAAAUAAGAGGCAGCUGGAUGACUCAGGGCAAAGCAUUUAUGACAGCCUGGCAGACUGAGUUCCUUCCCUGGAGCCCAUGUAAAGCUGCAGGGAGAGAAUGAGCUCUGUCAGAGUUGCUCUCUGACCCCUCACAGGCAACCCAAGGAGUGGGCAUGUUCCUUGUGCAGCAUGCGCACGUACGGUAAUCAUGAUCCAGAAAGCAACCAUUUUAGAAGCAGGUAAAAAAAUAAAAAUAAAAAACCAGAAAGAAAAUAAUAUCACCCAAGCUGCCAUGCCCCUCCCUGGCUUUUCCUUUUCAGACCUUUCACCGUUUACUCUGCCGUACAUUGACCUCACAAAUUCUAGGACCUGUAACCCCCUUUGAGUCCAGGAUUUAAAGUCUCUAAAGGUGUCUGCCUGUCCACUGCUUGUGCCCAGAACUUCGGUCUGACAGUAAAUAUUUGUUGAAUGACAAAUUCCCACAGAUAGUCUGUUAAGCUUUUCCAAGUGCCCCCUGUGCCUGAAUACGUUUUCUAUUGUUGCCAAAUAAACACAAGAUUAUGUAUGUGCA